CUGACCCACGCGGGAGACAUCGGGAUUCGCGUCCCGAGGCCGAAGGCGCAACCGCCCCGGAAACGCUCAGGCAAAAGGACCGCGCGGGUUUA
rfam:Caulobacter henricii strain CB4, complete genome.